GUGCCAGCCGCCGCGGUAAGACGAACCGUGCGAACGUUGUUCGGAAUCACUGGGCUUAAAGGGCGCGUAGGCGGGUUCCCAAGUCUGUGGUGAAAUCCUCCAGCUUAACUGGAGAAGUGCCAUGGAUACUGGAGACCUCGAGGAGGGUAGGGGCAUCUGGAACAGCCGGUGGAGCGGUGAAAUGCGUUGAUAUCGGCUGGAACUCCGAUGGCGAAGGCAAGGUGCUGGACCCUAUCUGACGCUGAGGCGCGAAAGCCAGGGGAGCGAACGGGAUUAGAUACCCCCGUAGUCC
rnacentral:rRNA from 1 species